rnacentral:lncRNA from 1 species
CCUGGAUCCUGGCUUUGGACUGGCCCAGCUCUGGCCAUUGUGGCCAUUUGGGAGCAAACCAGUGGAUGGAAGACUUCUCUCUCUCUCUCUUUCUCUCUGAAACUCUGCCUCUCAAAUAAAUAAAUAAAUCUCAAAAAAAAAAAAAAAAGUGACCUUUGGUGGAUGUGAUUAUUUACAGAAAUCAUUCAGGAAGUCAAGAGGAUACUGAGCAUAACAAUCACAAUCAGUGCUACAGUUUUGGGGCCCCUGCUCUAAAGUCUACAGCACCCACUAAAGGGAACUUUCCAGAGCCCAAGAGAGGAGGGCCAGCGUGCCCUGGGCACUGUGCCCCAAGGAAGAAGGUUGGACCUCUGGUUUUGCCUGCAUGUGGCCCAGCGUCAAUGCCGAAGUCCUUAGCAGGUCCUAGGAGGUGCCUGAUGAGCUGGAGACCCUGAGUCCUGCCCCCGACCCCUGCAAGCACUGCUUCUCUGACCUCACUCCCCCAAGGGCCUCCUGGUUGUUCUCUCCUGCAGGUCCUUUCCGUCCAAUGCCUUAAGACCCCUGUCCCCACUACGUGAGGCACACAGCCUCCUACACAAAGCUGUGCCCAAAGCCGUCCUCCGCAGGACCCUCCUCACCUCCCCUGACACCCGGUCUGUCCCUCUGAUUCUCCCUCCCUCUCUCCCUCCCUCUCUCUCCCUCACACACACACGGUGUCAUCACUUGUAACUGAAGUCCACGCUUCACCCCGACUUCCUCGACUUGCACCUGCCAUCUGUUUUCUAUUCCAGGAUCCCGCGUGGGCUGUCCUUUCACAUUUAGAGGCUGUGUCUCCUUAGGUCGUCUUGACUACAGCAGUCUCUCAGGUCCUCCUCGGUGGGGACAACCUUGACAGUGAGAUGCACUGGUCACUCAGCAGGCACUUUCUCCUUCUUGGGCAUUAUUGGAUCCCUGUGUGGGAGGAGACACCGGGAAGACAGUUGCAAGUGGGAAGAAGACCGAGCAGAGCAAACAGCAUGCCGACACCAGUAACUGCCCAACAGGAGGGAGACCUUACAGGCCAAGACGGGCACUUCUCCAGGCCCGCUGACCCCCGAAAGCUGCACAAAGUGCUAGAAGCCCCCUCAGAGGCCAUGAUGCAGAGAGGACAAAAAAGCAGAGUUCUCCUCCACCGGCUGACUUCCUCAAACCACACCCUAGCCAGGGCAGGGCCGGGCUGGCACCAGGAAAGCAAUCCGGGCGCUUCGUAGCCUAACCGCGGCCCAGUCCGCCGCCUCAAGGCGUCCUGGCGGACGAGGGAAGGAAGGAAGAAGACAGCCACAGCUUCUCCCAGGGACUCACAGGCCCCCGCAGCCCAGGCGAGGCGGCAAGGGGCAGGCCGGGGGCCGCCCAGGGCGCACGCCGGGCUCCAGGGGCGGCGAGAGACACCGAGCUCCCGGCCCUCCACCCGUUUCUCCGCUGGGGAAACUAAGGCCCGCAGAAAGCCGAACAGCCUAGGCUCAGGGCCCUUCCGUGAGCCACCAGAGCCACCCAGUCUACAGCAGGACCGCCUACUCUCCUUCGCCGCCACCACCACCACCUUGCGCGUCCACCUGUACUCCAGCCUCUCUCCUCCCAUCUCACCCUGCGCGCCAUGGCCACGCCCCCGCAGGCUCCGCCUACCACGCCCGCCCGGGCCGCGCAGCGCCACCUGCCGGUCUGGAGGCGCGAGUCCACGCCCCGUCUGCCCCUUCCAGAAAAUGUCUCCGUCGCUUGCUACCAUACUCUCCUGCCCUCUCACAUUUAUUCAAUCAGAUACUCAUUCAUUCAUUCAUUCAGCGUUUAGUAUCUCUGUGCCCGACAUGAUGUAGCACAGCUUACGUUCUGGUUGAG